UUUCUUAUAAUUCUAUUAGUUUCAUUGUUUGUUGGUUUAUUUUAUGCUAUUCUAGAGCAUUGUAAGUUUGUUAUUGACUUUUUCAAAUAACAGAGAACAGGUAAGUUUUAUUAAAGCUGCUUUUCUGAAAUGGCUCAAGACAUAAUUGUGUAACUUGUGCAAUGGUAUGUCAUUGUAGGGAAUGGAUGUGUGGACAGCUGACGCAUAUGUUGUGGCUACCUGGUUACCUCCAAAUAAUUUGGACCCAUCACUGUCUUUUCCAGAUCACAUUGCAUUCAAAGAUGCUAUUGUUUUUCCUGCUUGGAAGCCAGGACACUGGAUGUUGUGUUAAGAUGACAGCUACAAUUGCACCUGGCACAUGGAUGCUACUAAAAAACAAGGUUAGUUUUGUAAUUGGGACAUACUGUAUGUCAAUCUCUUACACACAACCUAAAUAUUUUUCUUUUUCAUUUUUUUUAAGGAUGUCCCCCAACAGAUUGGCUAUGUGGACUGUGGAGUCUUCAUGUUGAU